rnacentral:rRNA from 1 species
GAUAGGCUGGGUGUGUAAGCGUAGCGAUACGUUGAGCUAACCAGUACUAAUGACCCGAGAGGCUUAACCUUACAACACCGAAGGUGUUUUAG